rnacentral:rRNA from 1 species
AACGCUAGCUACAGGCUUAACACAUGCAAGUCGAGGGGCAGCACAGUGUAGCAAUACACGGGUGGCGACCGGCGCACGGGUGCGUAACACGUAUCCAAUCUGCCCGUUACUCAGGGAUAGCCUUUCGAAAGAAAGAUUAAUACCUGAUGUUAUGUAAUAUCGGCAUCGUAAUUACAUCAAAGAUUUAUCGGUAACGGAUGAGGAUGCGUAUGAUUAGCUGGUUGGUAGGGUAACGGCCUACCAAGGCGACGAUCAUUAGGGGUUCUGAGAGGAAGGUCCCCCACACUGGAACUGAGACACGGUCCAGACUCCUACGGGAGGCAGCAGUGAGGAAUAUUGGUCAAUGGGCGAGAGCCUGAACCAGCCAGGUAGCGUGAAGGAUGACUGCCCUAUGGGUUGUAAACUUCUUUUGUUUGGGAAUAAAGUGAGGUACGUGUACCUUUUUGUAUGUACCAUUCGAAUAAGCAUCGGCUAAUUCCGUGCCAGCAGCCGCGGUAAUACGGAAGAUGCGAGCGUUAUCCGGAUUUAUUGGGUUUAAAGGGAGCGUAGGCGGGUCAUUAAGUCAGUCGUCAAAGCCUGUGGCUCAACCACAGCCCGCGAUUGAUACUGGUGACCUUGAGUGCGGAUGAGGUGGAUGGAAUUCGUGGUGUAGCGGUGAAAUGCUUAGAUAUCACGAAGAACUCCGAUUGCGAAGGCAGUCCACUGGGCCGCAACUGACGCUGAAGCUCGAAAGUGCGGGUAUCAAACAGGAUUAGAUACCCUGGUAGUCCGCACCGUAAACGAUGGACACUCGCUGCCGGCGAUACACAGUCGGUGGCUUAGCGAAAGCGUUAAGUGUCCCACCUGGGGAGUACGCCGGCAACGGUGAAACUCAAAGGAAUUGACGGGGGCCCGCACAAGCGGAGGAACAUGUGGUUUAAUUCGAUGAUACGCGAGGAACCUUACCCGGGCUUAAAUUGCGCUGGACAGAUUGGGAGACCAAUCCUUCUUCGGACCAGCGUGAAGGUGCCGCAUGGUUGUCGUCAGCUCGUGCCGUGAGGUGUCGGCUUAAGUGC